UCCCGCAACGAGCGCAACCCUCGCCCUUACGUUGCCAGCAUUUAGUUGGGCACUCUAAGGGGACUGCCGGUGAUAAGCCGAGAGGAAGGUGGGGAUGACGUCAAGUCCUCAUGGCCCUUACGGGCUGGGCUACACACGUGCUACAAUGGUGGUGACAGUGGGCAGCGAGCACGCGAGUGUGAGCUAAUCUCCAAAAGCCAUCUCAGUUCGGAUUGCACUCUGCAACUCGAGUGCAUGAAGUUGGAAUCGCUAGUAAUCGCGGAUCAGCAUGCCGCGGUGAAUACGUUCCCGGGCCUU
rnacentral:rRNA from 1 species